UUGCGGUCACAUAACUUUGAAACACCCAUUCCUGUACGAUCAUUGAAGUUAAGCAAAGUCGAGCCUGGUCAUUACCUAGAUGGGUAACCGCUUGGGAAUACCAGGUCAUG
rnacentral:rRNA from 1 species